UUGACCUCGAAUCAGGUGGGACUACCUGCUGAACUUAAGCAUAUCAUAGCGAGAAA
rnacentral:rRNA from 1 species